GGUAUUUUUCGGAGUGGUCAAGUUCAUCUCACUACAGUGUACACAAGCAACUCCACAAGCAAAUUACUGAGUUAUUGUAGAGCAUUCUUCGUACGUAGCCUAGGUGUGAUCCUAAAGUCAAUAUGACCACCAGUCGACCUCUUUGAAGAUAGUAAUGUGGGCUGGACUACUCCCACUCCAAAGAUGACGACAACAGAAGCCCCCGCUCUCGCCUAGACUACGAAGGCUGAAAAGAAAAGACCACGAGUGAAGGACGAAGCAUCGAGAGGUCAGUGGCAGACCGAGAGGUCGUCGUGCAGCAUCUCUAGGGCCUGCUGGGCUGGGACUACAGAGAUGAGGAUUCAGAAGUUGAGGAGGAGCUGCAGCACAAGCUCUCUGUCAUGGGAUCGCACUCCAUGGGGGAGAAGUGUGGAUCCAGGCAUGGGACUGAUGCUGAGGGAGAUCCAGAACGGGACGAAAAGCCCAAACUGAAGCGUAAACUGGUCCAGUUGGAGGCCACAUCCCCUCACCUGGAGACCGGUUGCUUUCCUCCGCAGUCAAAACGCGCGACUACCAGAAGGUACCACGUCAAACAGUGCAACAAGCUGUGGAGCGUUGAACCCUCCUCUUUGUCCGCCCCAAGGAGACGCCCGGUGGUGGUGCUGAAGAUACUCUCUGAGCAAGAAAUACGCACUGCCCUUUGUCCCGUUGUGACGAUGUCGACAACGACGAUGAUCAUGUACAUGUUGUCGGUGACGUCUACCUGGAUAACGAUGGCGAUGAUGUCAUCGACAGACAGGGGCUUGGCAACUGGCUGGGGUUCUUCGACCGAGGAUUCCUGGAAAGGGAAGGCCAGCGCCUGUGCUAGGGACACUGGAUCCCUUUUGAGGAUAAGUGCAAAAGACAACAAGGCAAAGAUUAAAUCAAAAUCUGUCACAGUGGAAAGGCAAAAUGGAGAUGCUCCGACAUCAGCCGAGCCUCAGAGCUGUGAAAUCGCUGUCUCCUCCGUCUCCAAGCCCUGCACUCCCAUCGCCUCCCCAAUGUCCCUAGCCCAUGAUUUUGAUGAAGUGAUUUUCUUUUUUUCCAUCUUAGUGUGGACCGUGUGGGGUGGAGGGCUUCAAGAACAAGGUGAGCCUUGAGAACAGGGGGCGCGUCCUGGUGUCUGGACACCACCUUGCCUGUGAGGACACUGCUCCGCUGUGCAGUCUCCAUGUGCGGGUCCGGGUGGUGACUAGCUAGCGGAAAGACAACAAACCUUUCUUCUACUCUGGCAUCCUGGGAGAGCUUCCCUCCAGAAGGAACCGCAUGAGGUUCCUGGUCUUUUUCGACAAUCACACUCCUAACUAUGUUCGACUACCUUCUCUGCACCUGGUGUGCAGGCCAUUGGUGGAACCCUGGGGCGGACAUCCCAGGAGACGCCCACCGGAGAUUCAUCAGGGAGUACCUGAAGGUGUGGCCGCACCCUCCUAUGGCCAACUACUGAGUGGAUGAGCAGCUCAACGUGGAGUGCAGAGAGCCUGCGAGGUGCUCCGUGCAGACUGCAGCCUGAUGCAUGUCCUCUUCAAGCAUAGCGGACUCAAGGAGGGGAUUUAUCGAGGUUCCAUGCGUCUGGAGCACUCGGUCAACACGAAUAAGGUUCUGAAGAACACGGACAGGGCGGGAGAGACGAAGGCGGCUGAACCCAGCAGCGUAUCCCACGAAAAUCCGCAGGAAGCAUGUCCCGGGUCUCGCUCCACUCCGACCACUCCACCCACUCCACCGGCCGCCAUGGGUGAACUACACUCCGCACCUCUGCAGCCCCGCCUGCCUGGAACUAGUCUGGCGCGACAGGCCUCUGGAAGCGUUGCGUAAGCGCAACCCGCUGCUCGCCCCCAUGAUGUACAAGUUCAGACGGACCAAGAGGCAGCUCACCCCUGACACCAUGGCCUCGGUAUUGAGUCUGGACGGCUCGUUAACAGGGUGUCCCCGUGGAGACGAAGCCCACCUACAGCGUAUACUGCUACGCCCCCUGCGGCCUGCCCCUGACCGCCAUCGCCCAGGUGGAGCAGUACCUGCAUGACACGCGCUGCGACUUCCUGUCCAUUGACGCUUUCAACCUGGACCCGCACCUGUCUGUCACCGGUGCCAAACCCCUCCCCUUCAAGGUGUUCCUUCCCGACCUGUCCGGUGGCAGGGAGAACAAGGCGUUGCCCUGCAUCAACGAGCACAACGGCCAGCUUCCCCCCCAAGAUGAGCUACCGGAGCGGCCGCGACACCAGCCACGUCCGUCUCGACCCCGGCCCCGGCGUUGUGACGGGCUAAGUCGACGGUUGUAGGGACAGAGAGUCCUGCUCCUGUCGCCAGCUGACUAUCCAGAGCACCGGUGGGAGAGCCAUGGAGGAGAACUCCAGCUACGCUCAAAAGAGACUCAACAAUGCAGUUGUUACUGGCGUGUAUGAGUGCAACGCCCAGUGUCUCUGUGACCCCCCGCACAUGCUCGAACCGGGUGGCACAGCAAGGCGUCCAGGUGAGGCUCCAGGUCUUCAUGACCCAGGACCGAGGCUGGGGCGUCUGCUGCCUGGAUGACAUAUCCGGGGAGACCUUUGUGUGUUCCUACAGCGCCUCUAAAACGACUAAAGCCAAGGACCCUUCAAAGAGAAAGAAACCUGCAUCUUCCAUGGUUCCCAUGACUACAUCCAGAUGUUUCUUUGAUGGCGAGGAACACGGCUGCAUCCUUGAUGAUAAUAUGGAGAGAAAUGUUGCCCGCUACCUCAAUGAUAGCUGCAACCCAAACUUGUUUAAACAAUAAGUUUUUAUGGACACACACGACCUCAGGUUUCCCUGGUUAACCUUUUUACUAGCAAGCGGGUCAAAGCUGUCACAGAGUUGACCUGGGACUACAGAUCUGUCCAAAAAGAGGAUGCUGAAACUCUUCUUGGUCAGCCGUGCUCCUGUGGGUCUAAAAACUGUUCUGGCCAACUAUAAUGCUUAGAGACUUGAUUCGAAAUUUAUAUAAAUGUGUUGAUUUGCAAUGGUGUGAAGUUUUUUACAUUUAAAUAAAUAUCCCUCAACAUUCACAAUCUGAAUAGUUCACAUUAAAAAUUGA
ensembl:lncRNA